rnacentral:lncRNA from 1 species
GUGACGAGACGGGAAGCCGGGAAGCCGGGAGGGAUCUACUGUGCACGUCCAAGGCGCUGGGCCUAGAGCAGGAGAAAGGGUUUGGAGGUGCGUCGGAGACUAUGAAGUGCGGCCUUCGGCGUGAUCCUUUCCGGAAGCGGAAGCUCGGGGGGCGGGCCAAGAAGGUCCGGGAGCCCACGGCGGUUGUUUUUUCUGUGAGGCUUCACUUACCUCGGUCUGGGCUUCUCUGAGGCUGCGAGAGAUGGUCAUGUCCGGAUCUCAACUGGGCCGGAUACUCAGUUUCUCUCCCCAGAGGCAACCGUGAUUAACUGUUUCUGGCAUAACUCCCAAGAUAUUGGAUGCAGGUAAAAACAAAUGCCUAUUUUUUCCUGUUUUUCUACACAAAAGGUAAUGCAUCAUGUCACUUUUAAAACAAAAAAAAAAUUAAGAAAACAACAGUGCUAUGUAAGUCUAAAGAGAAAGAUUAAGACAAUGAGAUGUAGAUAAAGAGAAAGGUAGAGUUUUUAUUUGCUGGUCUAAUCAGGCAUUCUAAAGAAUGUACAUAAAAGGAACCAGAGUUAAGAACUCUGUUCUGUAUCUUGAAUUAACUUGUAUAUUUCAAAGAAUUUGGGACUAUAGAACAUGUUUAGGGGAUUAAUAUAGUCUGAACUUAGUGUAGUAGUUACUUCUGGUAUAAAAUAUCUCAAUUUCUUUUUCACCUUAAGUAGACUUAAGGUGACACCUUAAGUAGACACAUAUUAAGCAAAUAUGUAUUGUUUGCUUGACAUUUUACAUAAAAUAAAUUUAAUAUAUGAAUUAAAUUCUAAUUGUGGAUUUUUAGGAUGUGUCAUAUUAAUUAAAACAGUGAAUAAUAUGGUACAUACAUACAAUGGAAUAUUAUUUGGCCUCAGAAAGAAACAUUUUGACACAUGCUACAAUAUAGAUGAAGCUUGAAGACAUUAUGCUAAGUGAAAUAAGCCAGUCACAAAAGGACAAAUAUUGUAUUAUUCCAUUUAUAUAGUUUCUAGAGUAGUCAAAUUCGUAGAAACUAGGAUGGUAGUUGUUAGGGUCAGGGAGAAGAGGGGAUGGAAAGGUACUGUUUGAUUGGUACAGAGUUUCAGUUUGAGAAGAUGAAUAAAAGAAAAAAAUGACAUCGGAUUGCUGGCAAGAUGGCUGAAUAGGAACAGCUCCAGUCUGCAGCUCCCAGCAAGAUCAAUGCAGAAGGUGGAUGAUGUCUGCAUUUCCAACUGAGGUACCUGGUUCAUCUCAAUGGGACUGGUUGGACAGUGGGUGCAGCCCACGGAGGGCGAGCCAAAGCAGGGUGGGGUGUUGCUUCACCCUGGAAGUGCCAGGGGUCGGGGAAUUUUUUCCCCUACCCAAGGGAAGCUGUAAGGGACUGAACCUGGGGAACUGUGCACUCUGGCCCAGAUACUGCACUUUUCCUAAUGGUCUUCGCAACCUGCAGACCAAGAGAUUCCCUCCAGUGCCUACCCCACCAGGGCCCUGGGUUUCAAGCACAAAACUGGGUGGCCGUUUAGGCAGACACCGAAAUAGCUGCACAAGGUUUUUUGUUUGUUUGUUUGUUUUUUCCCAUACCCCAGUGGUGCCUGGAAUGCCAGUGAGACAGUGAGACAAAACCAUUCACUCCCCUGGAAAGGGUGCUGAAGCCAGGGAGCCAAGUGGUCUGGCUCAGUGGUCCCACCCCUGUGGAGCCCAGCAAACUAAAAUCCACUGGCUUGAAAUUCUCGCUGCCUGCACAGCAGCAGUCAGAGAUCAACCUGGGACACUUGAACUUGGUGCAGGGAGGGGCAUCCGCCAUUGCUGAGGCUUGAGUAGGCGGUUUUACCCUCACAGUGUAAACAAAGCCACUGGGAAGUUCAAACUGGGCAGAGCCCACUGCAGCUGAGCAAGGCUGCUGUGGCCAGACUGCCAGAUUUGCCCUCUCUGGGCAGGGCAUCUCUGAAAAAAAGGCAGCAGCCCCAGUCAGGGACUUUUAGACAAAACUCCCAUCUCCCUGGGCCAGAGCACCUGGGGAAAGGAGUGCCUGUAGGCGCAAUUUCAGCAGACUUAAAUGUUUCUGCCAGAUGGCUCUGAAGAGAGCAGUGGAUCUCCCAACACAGCAUUCGAGCUCUGCUAAGGGUCAUACUGCCUCAAGUGGGUGCCUGACCCCCGCAUAUCCUGACUAGGAGACACCUCCCAGUAGGGGCUGACAGACACCUCAUACAGGAAAGCUCUGGCUGGCAUCUGGCAGGUGCCUCCCUGGACGAAGCUGCCAGAGGAAAGAACAGGCAGCAAUCUUUGCUGUUCUGCAGCCUCUGCUGGUGAUACCCAGGCAAAUGGUCUGGAGUGGACCUCCAGCAAACUCCAGCAGACCUGUAGCAAAGGGGCCUGACUGUUAGAAGGAAAACUAACAAACAGGAAGAGCAUGUCCACUCAGAGAUCCCAUCCAAAGGUCACCAACAUCAAAGAUCAAAGGUAGAUAAAUCCACAAAGAUGGGGAGAAAUCAGUGCAAAAAGGCUGAAAAUACCAAAAACCAGAAUGCCUCUUCUCCUCCAAAGGAUCACAACUUCUCACCAGCAAGGGAACAAAACUGGAUGGAGAAUGAGUUUGACAAACUGACAGAAGUAGGCUUCAGAAGGUGGGUAAUAACAAAUUCCUCUGAGCUAAAGGACCAUGUUCUAACCCAAUGCAAGGAAGCUAAGAACCUUGAAAAAAGGUUAGACGAAUUGCUAACUAGAAUAACCAGUUUAGAGAAGAACAUAAGCGACCUGAUGGAGCUGAAAAACACAGCACAAGAACUUCCUGAAGCAUACACAAGUGUCAAUAGCCGAAUCAAUCAAGUGGAAGAAAGGAUAUCAGAGAUUGAAGAUCAACUUAAUGAAAUAAAGUGAGAAGACAAGAUUAGAGAAAAAAGAAUAAAGAGGCACAAACAAAGCCUCCAAGAAAUAUGGGACUAUGUGAAAAGACCAAAUCUAUGUUUGAUUGAUCUACCUGAAAGUGACAGGGAGAAUGGAACCAAGCUGGAAAACACUCUUCAGGAUAUUAUCCAGGAGAACUUCCCCAACCUAGCAAGACAGGCCAACAUUCAAUUUCAGGAAAUAGAGAGAACACCACAAAGAUACUCCUUGAGAAGAGCAACCCAAGACACAUAAUUGUCAGAUUCACCAAGGUUGAAAUGAAGGAAAAAAUAUUAAGGGCAGCCAGAGAGAAAGGUCAGGUUACCCACAAAGGGAAGCCCAUCAGACCAACAGUGGAUCUCUCUGCAGGAACCCUACAAGCCAGAAGAGAGUGGGGGCCAAUGUUCAACAUUCUUAAAGAAUUUUCAACCUAGAAUUUCAUAUCCAGCCAAACUAAGCUUCAUAAAUGUAGAAGAAAUAAAAUUCUUUACAGACAAGCAAAUGCUGAGAGAUUUUGUCACCACCAGGCCUGCCCUACAAGAGCUCCUGAAGGGAGCACUAAACAUGGUAAGGAACAACAGGUACCAGUCACUGUAAAAACAUACCAAAUUGUAAAGACCAUCGACACUAUGAAGAAACUGCAUUAACUAAUAAUGGACAAAAUAACCAGCUAGCAUCAUAAUGACAGGAUCAAAUUCGCACAUAACAAUAUUAACCUUAAAUGUAAAUGGACUAAAUGCCCCAGUUAAAAGACACAGACUGGCAAAUUGGAUAAACAGUCAAGACCCAUCGGUGUGUUGCAUUCAGGAGACCCAUCUCACAUGCAAAGACACACAUAGGCUCAAAAUAAAGGGAGGGAGGAAUCUUUACCAAGAAAAUGGAAAGAAAAAAAAAAGGGGGUUGCAAUCAUAGUCUCUGAUAAAACAGACUUUAAACCAGCAAAGAUCAAAAAAGACAAAGAAGGGCAUUGCAUAAUGAUAAGGGGAUCAAUGCAACAAGAAGAGCUAACUAUCCUAAAUAUAUAUGCACCCAGUACAGGAGCACAAGAUUCAUAAAGCAAAUUCUUAGAGACCUACAAAGAGACUUAGACUCCCACACAAUAAUAGUGGGAGACUUUAACACCCCACUGUCAAUAUUAGAUCAAUGAGAUGGAAAAUUAACAAGGAUAUUCAGGACUUGAACUCAGCUCUGGAACAAGCAUACCUAAUAGACAUCUACAGAACUCUCCAUCCCAAGUCAGCAGAAUAUACAUUCUUCUCAGCACCACAUCACAUUAAUUCUAAAAUUGACCACAUAAUUGGAAGUAAAACACUCCUCAGCAAAUGCAAAAGAAUGGAAAUCAUAACAGUCUCUCAGACCACAGUGCAAUCAAAUUAGAACUCAGGAUUAAGAAACUCACUCAAAAUCACACAACUGCAUGGAAACUGAACAACCUGCUCCUGAAUGACUGCUAGGAAAUAAUGAAAUUAAGGCAGAAAUAAAUAAGUUCUUUGAAACCACUGAGAACAAAGUCACAACAUACCAGAAUCUCUGAGACACAGCUAAGGCAGUGUUUAAAGGGAAAUUUAUAGCACUAAAUGCCCACAAGAGAAAGCAGGAAAGAUCUAAAAUCGACACUCUAACAUCACAAUGAAAAGAGCUAGAGGAACAAGAGCAAACAAAUUCAAAAGCUAGCAGAAGACAAGAAAUAACUAAGAUCAGAGCAGAAUUGAAGGAGAUAGAGACACAAAAAAACCUUUAAAAAAUGAAUCCAAGAGCUGUUUUUUUUGAAAAGAUCAACAAAAUAGACUGGUAGCCAAUUAAUAAAGAAGAAAAGAGGGAAGAAUCAAACAGACACAAUAAAAAAUGAUAAAGGGGAUAUCACCACUGAUCCCACAGAAAUACAAACUAGCAUCAGAGAAUAUUAUAAACACCUCUAUGCAAAUAAACUAGAAAGUCUAGAGGAAAUGGAUAAACUCCUGGACACAUACACCCUCCCAAGACUAAACCAGGAAGAAGUUGAAUCCCUGAAUAGACCAAUAACACGUUUUUAUUUUAUUAUUUAAUAGCCUACCAACCAAAAAAAAGCCCAGGAUCAGACAGAUUCACAGCUGAUUUCUACCACAGGCACAAAGAGGAGCUGGCACCAUUUCUUCUGAAACUAUUUCAAACAAUAGAAAAUGAGGGACUCCUCCCUAACUCAUUUUAUAAGGCCAGCAUCAUCCUGAUACCAAAACCUGGCAGAGACACAACAAAAAAAAAUUUCAGGCCAAUAUCCCUGAUGAGUAUCAAUGUGAAAAUCCUCAAUAAAAUACUGGCAAACUGAAUCCAGCAGCACAUCAAAAAACUUAUCCACUACUAUCAAGUUGGCUUCAUCUUUGGGAUGCAAGCAUGGUUCAACAUAUGCAAAUCAAUAAAUGUAAUCCAUCACAUAAAAGAACCAAUGACAAAAACCACAUGAUUAUCUCAAUAGAUGCAGAAAAGGCCUUCGAUAAAAUUCAACACCCCUUCAUGCUAAAAACUCAAUAAACUAGGUAUUGAUGGGGAAUGUAUCUCAAAAUAAUGAAAGCUAUUUAUGACAAACCCACAGCCAAUAUCAUACUGAAUGGGCAAAAGCUGGAAGCAUUCCCUUUGAAAACUGGCACAAGACAAGGAUGCCCUCUCUCACCACUCCUAUUCAACAUAGUAUUGGAAGUUCUGGCCAGGGCAAUCAAGGAAGAGAAAGAAAUAAAGUGUAUUCAAAUAGAAAGAGAGGACGUCAAGUUUUCUGUUUGCAGAUGACAUGAUUAUAUAUUUAGAAAACCCCAUUGUCUCAGCCCAAAAUCUCCUUAAGCUGAUAAGCAACUUCAGCAAAGUCUCAGGAUACAAAAUCAAUGUGCAAAAAUCAAAAGCAUUCCUAUACACCAAUGACAGACAAACAGAGAGCCAAAUCAUGAGUGAACUCCCAUUCACAACUGCUACAAAGAGAAUAAAAUACCUAGGAAUACAACUUACAAGGGCUGUGAAGGACUUCUUCAAGGAGAACUACAAACCACUGCUCAAAGAAAUAAGAGAGGACACAAAUGGAAGAACAUUCCAUGCUCAUGGAUAGACAGAAUCAAUAUUGUGAAAAUGGCCAUACUGCCCAAAGUAAUUUAUAGAUUCAACGCUCUCCUCAUCAAGCAACCAUUGACUUUCUUCACAGAAUUAGAAAAAACGUCUUUAAAUUUCAUAUGGAACCAAAAAACAGCCCGUAUAGCCAAGACAAUCCUAAGCAAAAAGAACAAAGCUGGAGGCAUCAUGCUACCUGACUUCAAACUAUACCACAAGGCUACAGUAACCAAAACAGCAUGGUACUGGUACUAAAACAGAUACAUAGACCAAUGGAACAGAACAGAGGCCUCAGAAAUAAUGCCACACAUCUACAACCAUCUGAUCUUUGACAACCCUGACAAAAGCAAUGGGGAAAGGAUACCCUAUUUAAUAAAUGGUGUCAGGAAAACUGGCCAGCCAUAUGCAGAAAACUGAAACUGGACCCUUUCCUUACACCUUAUACAAAAAUUAACUCAAGAUGGAUUAAAGACUUAAACCUAAGACCUAAAACCAUAAAAACCCUAGAAGAAAACCUAGGCAAUACCAUUCAGGACACAUGCAUGGGCGAAGACUUCAUGUCUAAAACACCAAAAGCAAUGGCAACAAAAGCCAGAAUAGACAAAUGGGAUCUAAUUAAACUAAAGAGCUUCUGCACAGCAAAAGAAACUGGCAUCAAAGUGAACAGGCAGCCUACAGAAUGGGAGAAAGUUUUUGCAAUCUGUCCAUCUGACAAAGGGCUAAUAUCCAGAAUGUACAAAGAACUUAGGAGGACAGAAAACCAAACACCGCACGUUCUCACUCAUAGGUGGGAAUUGAACAAUGAGAACACUUGGACACAGGGCGGGGAACAUCACACACGGGGACCUGUCAUGGGGUAGGGGGCAGGGGGAGGGAUAGCAUUAGGAGAAAUACCUAAUGUAAAUGACGAGUUAAUGGGUGCAGCAAACAAACAUGGCACAUGUAUACCUAAGUAACAAACCUGCACGUUGUGCACAUGUACCCUAGAACUUAAAGUAUAAUAAUAAAAAAAAAUUAAACUCAUUCAGCACCUUACAACUUUCAUGCUUUGCACACUCACUGUGUCAUUCAACAAAUCCUGUCAAACUUACUAGGUGCUAUUGAACCUCCGCUCAUGUACACUUACUGUGUAAUCCAGCAGUCACUUUUUGCAUAUUUGUUCUCUCAUCUAACUUUAACUUCUGUGACACCAAAUUUUGUGUACUUGACAAUCACUCUUUGUACACUCAUUCUCCACCAUCUAGAUGACAUUCCUUUCACAUUUACUUGAACUUGGCCUUGAUUUUUAUAUGACAUUGGUGUUGAUCUUCCCUUUGAUGCUGACUUUAAAUUUUACCUUGACCUUGACUUGAUCUCAACUCAAACAAAAUCCUGUUUCCCACCUUAUGUCUAGGCCAUGUCUAGCACAAAUUUGGAACUUGAUCUUUAACUUGACACUAAUCUUGACCUUGAGCUUUGCUGUAGUUCUAACACUCAUCCUAUUUUUGAACAAUAACCAGAUCAUAUACAGCACUAAUUGCAAAGUUGAAUAUAAUCUUGACUUGACUUUGGCACUGAUUUUGAUCUUUUAUUGACCGGUUAAGACUUUCUUCCUAUCCUUUUAUUAUUACCAUCUACCAGAUGUAGCCUUAUGUGCACACUUGAAGUUGACCGGUACCUUAAAUUUCUCCUUGAUUUUGAUGAAAACCUUUGGACCACUUCACAUGCACAGCAAGUGUAGCUCUGAUUUGAACUUGAACUUGAUUUAGACCUUGGCCUUUGAACUUAACCUUCAUAUCGCUCCUGACUGAAAUUCAAGCUUGAAAUUUCCUAGAACUUACCUUAACCUUUAACUUGACCUAGACCUUGAAACUGUGCUUGAAUUUUACUUCCAUUUUCACCUGGACACUAAUUCAGAUCUACUUCUCAUUUAACAUCCCUGUCACUUUAAGGCCCAUAUUCUCAUGACUUUGAACUUGAACUCUGGCUGCAGCUCAGAAGAUACAAAAGGGAUGAGUAAUGUAAAAAUCUGGAUCAAUAUUCUAAUUCUGGGUAAUUAUCCUGCAAAUCGUGCCAGAUCAUCAUCUGGAUAAACAGGGUGCCCAUAACCCAGAGGUCUCCUUUUUGGGGAAAGAGACAAAAGGAGCUAACUAGAGUCAUACCCCAUGCACCCAAAUCUUAGCCACCUAUAUAUACUACAACUGUAGCCACCAGUUAUCUGGGUGUGUUGGCAGCCUCGGGAUUUUUUAGCUGUCCCUAUCCCCUUGUUUCAUUUUGAUCCAUGUCUUCUAAUAACCUGGUUUGUCUCUUCUCACCUUCAGGCCAUCAAAGUCCAAAUGGUCAUUCAAAGGGAGUCUCGGACAACGGCUCCAUUUAACUGGGGACCCUAGAUAGGCCUCUGAGAGAAUCUCUUGACUGCAACUUUUCCCAAAACAAUGCCCUUUGUCAACAUGAAGCAGUUAAGAACAGUCAUUGUUCCUAUCCUAAUGGCAGAUGUACCUCUUCAGAGGGGGGAUUGAUGGCAGAGGCGGCCCAUCUGGAGCAGCAGAUGUGAACAUGCCAGCUGCAGUGGGG